rnacentral:lncRNA from 1 species
GUCGAGUCUGCAACCUCAUACCUCCCUCUCAGGGGCCUCCUGAGGUUGUGCGGGCCUGGCCGAGUCCGACCUGGGCUUAAAGAGGAUACGGAGAGGACAAGUUGCCCUGGGCCCCUGCAGGCUGGCCUUGGGUUCCUGGGAGUACAGUGGGGCAGUCACCUCCCUCCAGAGCCAGGCCUGCCCUGGAGAGGCAAGGGCAGGUGUCCCGCUUUUGGCUGCUCACGGGUCUGGCAAGCUGCUGAGUGUCUGUCACAGGGGGACAGUGCUCCCGCCCUUGUGCCUCACUGGGCAGGAACGGGCAUCAGGUGGGUGGAAUGCCAAGGCUCUGUGCGGUGGGGAACCACGGACCCGCAGUUAGAGCCAGUCUGCGUGUUGAACGGGUCCCAGCUGCGGCUCAGCAGCACCUCUCCUGGGGAAGCUCACCCGUGCUGGAGAGCUGUCACCAACAGGUUCCCAGCACUGAGGCCUGGGAGCCCUGACCAGCAGCCCCACGGUCCACCCACAGCAUUGGUGCUUGGCCAUGUGCUCAGACAGCGAAACACCAGUGACCCUGCAGGAUCUUUAGGUACGUGAACACAAGAAGCCAGGUACAGUUCCAACAGCCCUCUAAGCCACAUGUCCCCAAGGAUGAACACGUGGGGCCAACUUACAGGAGAACAAGGGGACCCCAAACCCAGGGUGCUUCUUACCUCUGGGGAGAUGUCACCACUAACUGUGUCAUUGCUACUGCCAUCACUGCCCCUGGGGAGACAUGGCCAGCCCCAUGUUGAGUCACUGCGGGGAAGCAGCGACCAGCUUCUGAGUCUGGGACCCCCUGAGCCUGGGCCCCAUGCCACACCCCUGACACCAAGUGGAAAAUGUUGCGAGUGUGGGCACAGUACGCUCGGCUGGGCUCCCUCAGAAGCAGUCUGAGCACAGACUCAGGCGCGAGUGGGUCUUUGGAGGUGACCCCAGGAAAUUCUGGUAGGUGUGUGAGAACCCACCCAGGGCAGGGCACGCUACGAAGCCGGUGGACGGUCAGGGCGCAGUCCCUGGGACAUGCCUGUACCAUGGAGAUGGACACCCAGAGGAGACGGAGCAGGGUGAUGACCCACCCUCGCAUCCUCUGCUGGCCCGUGGCGGCUCCCGGGCGCCCACUGCCCAGCUCUUUGGGCCUCCCCCGCAUCUUGGGCUGAGCUUGCCUUUGCCACGGAGCACCCAGAGAAACCCUUUCAAGCUUGACCAUGGAGGACUGGGCUCAUGGGGCCGAGGAAUGCGCUCAGGAUUAUAUUUGUAGAAGCGGAUUUGGAUCUAGGCCCGGCCAGGCCCAGGUCCCGUGCUGUCCUGCCUUGCUGUGGUCCUGCUUGGCCAGGGGCAGGGCCUGCGGUGUCACAGGUGGGUCUGCAUCUCAGGACAAUGGAGACCACACCAGCGUCUGGCUCCAGCCUUUGUGCCUCAGAGCCGGGAGACAUGUCAUCGCUGCGGGAAUAAGUGUUACACUCUGUCCAGACCCAGAGCCUAACGAGGCCCAGAUGCCCAGGGGAGGCCAGCAGACGUGGGUUUUCCAUGUAAGGCCUGACUGGCAGGGGGGCGUGUUCCUCAGGUCUCCGCGGAGUGCUCAGCUCUGGAAUCAGAUUCUCAGCUCGUGGUGCUGGGCCUCAGGGUCUGUCCAGGGAUGAUAACCAGGACCCGUGAGGCCACAGGAUUCCCGGGGCUGGGCGGGACCGCGAAGGAGUCGGCUCCAUCUUGGUGCUGGGAGGACGUGGACAGGGGCCCAGGGAGGGGCGGGUGUGCCCAGCCCUCACAGCUACUUCGAGGUGAGACUGAGCUUUCCUAACUGCUACCACCGUGCCAGGUCCUGCGCAGGGCCUCCUGCCCCUCCCCCAGGCCAGGGUGGCUGGGGAGAGCUCAGGGCAGACAUGUGCUUGGGUGGCCUGGGACAGGAGUGGAGGC